CCAAGCCUCCCGUGCCUACUGAGCUGAUACUCAGUUGUUUUGAAAAAACUGGCUCAGUUCAGCAGGAACAGGAGUCC
ensembl:miRNA